GAUGAACGCUAGCUACAGGCUUAACACAUGCAAGUCGAGGGGAAACGAUGAGAGAGCUUGCUCUCUUAGUCGUCGACCGGCGCACGGGUGAGUAACGCGUAUCCAACCUGCCUCUGACCAAGGGAUAACCCGUCGAAAGUCGGACUAAUACCUUAUGCAGUCGUCGGAAGUCAUCUGAUGACGACGAAAGAUUUCAUCGGUGAGAGAUGGGGAUGCGUCUGAUUAGCUUGUUGGCGGGGUAACGGCCCACCAAGGCGACGAUCAGUGGGGGUUCUGAGAGGAAGGUCCCCCACAUUGGAACUGAGACACGGUCCAAACUCCUACGGGAGGCAGCAGUGAGGAAUAUUGGUCAAUGGGCGUAAGCCUGAACCAGCCAAGUAGCGUGCAGGAUGACGGCCCUAUGGGUUGUAAACUGCUUUUAUGCGGGGAUAAAGUGAGGGACGUGUCCUUCAUUGCAGGUACCGCAUGAAUAAGGACCGGCUAAUUCCGUG
rnacentral:rRNA from 1 species